GCAGCGUUAUCCGGAUUUAUUGGGCGUACAGGGUGCGUAGGCGGUUGUGUAAGNNGGAGGUUAAAUCCCGGAGCUCAACUCCGGUCCGCCUUGAAAACUACAUGACUAGAAUACAAGAGAGGUAAAUGGAAUUCCAUGUGUAGCGGUAAAAUGCGUAGAUAUAUGGAAGAACACCUGUGGCGAAAGCGGUUUACCAGCUUGUUAUUGACGCUGAGGCACGAAAGCGUGGGGAGCAAAUAGGAUUAGAUACCCUAGUAGUCCACGCCGUAAACGUUGAGUACUAGGUGUCGGGAAUUAUCUCGGCGCCGCAGCUAACGCAUUAAGUACUCCGCCUGAGUAGUAUGCACGCAAGUGUGAAACUCAAAGGAAUUGACGGGGACCCGCACAAGUGGUGGAGCAUGUGGUUUAAUUCGAAGCAACACGAAGAACCUUACCAGGGCUUGACAUCCAGUGCAAAGGCAUAGAGAUAUGCUGGAGGCUAACAUUGAGACAGGUGGUGCAUGGUUGUCGUCAGUUCGUGCCGUGAGGUGUUUGGUUAAGUCCAGCAACGAACGCAACCCUUGUCAUUAGUUACUAACAUUUAGUUGAGGACUCUAAUGAGACUGCUAGUGUAAGCUAGAGGAAGGUGGGGAUGACGUCAAAUCAUCAUGCCCCUUAUGUCCUGGGCUACACACGUGCUACAAUGGCUGAUACAAAGAGUCGCAAUCUCGCAAGGAGGAGCUAAUCUCAUAAAAUCAGUCUCAGUUCGGAUUGAAGGCUGCAACUCGCCUUCAUGAAGCCGGAAUCACUAGUAAUCGCGAAUCAGCUAUGUCGCGGUGAAUACGUUCUCGGGUCUUGUACACACCGCCCGUCACACCAUGAGAGUUGGUAACACCAGAAGCAGGUAGCCUAACCGCAAGGAGG
rnacentral:rRNA from 1 species